CUGUUGAUCUGUCCAUUCUCUUCACUGAAGGGCUUAUUUAAAUGUCUGCGAAUGACUGCCACCUGGUGGCCAGUCUCUUUUGUGGAGGGAGCAGGAUAUAAAAGGGAGGAGACUACGCAUCCCUGUAAGCUCCACCUGUGUCUCUGUGUGUGUGCGCUCACCUGUGCGCACCUCCAUCCCUGAUCGUUUGUUCUCUGGGCUGGCGCGGCCUUUGUGCUGCUGACCUUUUCUUUGUUGGCUCAUCUUUGUGGCUCUUCGAUUUUCACGGUGCUGUAGACCACGCAAGAUAAUAAACUAAGGCACCCGUACGAAA